rnacentral:misc_RNA from 1 species
UUUUUUUUUUUGAAAAAUAAAAAAAAGAUAAAACAACGUCCAGAAAGAAAAAUCUGAAAUGGGAUUUACAGAAAUUUGUUAUAUUCAGUUCAAGAAGAAAUUACAGAAUUAUAAACCAAUUAUAACCUCUAAAGUAAGAGGUUAAAAAUUGAAGACAAAGGGUUGCUACAGAAAAAGAAACCAUGCAAUAUAAACAAAUAAAUUAAAAAAGAAAUUCCAAUGGAAAUCAGCAACACACAAACUGGAAAAAAAAGGGGAAAAUUUUGAUUUACCUAUGAAAGGAGUUGCAG